rnacentral:rRNA from 1 species
UACGUAGGGGGCAAGCGUUGUCCGGAAUCAUUGGGCGUAAAGAGCGCGUAGGCGGUCCGGUAAGUCGGUUGUGAAAACUGGGGGCUCAACCCUCAGAGGCCGACCGAUACUGUCGGGCUAGAGUCCGGAAGAGGCGAGUGGAAUUCCUGGUGUAGCGGUGAAAUGCGCAGAUAUCAGGAGGAACACCAAUGGCGAAGGCAGCUCGCUGGGACGGUACUGACGCUGAGGCGCGAAAGCGUGGGGAGCAAACGGG